GGACUGUGGAUCAGUGGUAGAGUGCUCGCCUAGCACUUGCGAGGCCCUGGGUUCAAUCCUCAGUACCA
rnacentral:tRNA from 1 species